GAAUCUUGCGCAAUGGACGAAAGUCUGACGCAGCGACGCCGCGUGAGCGAUGAAGGCCUUCGGGUUGUAAAGCUCUGUGGGGAGAGACGAAUAAGGUGUAGCUAAUACCUGCAUCGAUGACGGUAUCUCCUUAGCAAGCACCGGCUAACUCUGUUCCAGCAGCCGCGGUAAGACAGAGGGUGCAAACGUUGUUCGGAAUUACUGGGCGUAAAGCGCGUGUAGGCGGCGACGUGUGUCGGGCGUGAAAUCCCGUGGCUCAACCAUGGAAGUGCACCCGAAACUGCGUAGCUAGAGUCCUGGAGAGGAAGGUGGAAUACUUGGUGUAGAGGUGAAAUUCGUAGAUAUCAAGUGGAACACCGGUGGCGAAGGCGGCCUUCUGGACAGUGACUGACGCUGAGACGCGAAAGCGUGGGGAGCAAACAGG
rnacentral:rRNA from 1 species